AAAUCGAUGCCAUAGGACCACAAAGAGCAAUCCGUCUUGUGAGCAGCAAGAGACCAGAGUGGCGUGCACACACAGAGGGAGGAACUGCUCAGCUCUUAGUACACAACGAUGAAACCGGCCCAAGGAGGCACACUUACCCAGGUCCUCACACCCAGUUAAGUGGUGGAGUCAGCAUUCAAAUCCACAGGAUUUCGAGCAAAGAUUCUUCCUUCAGACAAGGGGGCAAAAAGCAAAUGAAAAUGACCACUUUUACCUUCAGAAAUGGAGCCCACAGAUAUCAUGUUCACUACUGCACCACUGCUAAUUACGAGAAGCUAAAGGCCC